UACAUAGGGGGCAAGCGUUGUCCGGAUUUAUUGGGCGUAAAAGGCUUGUAGGUGGCCACGCCAAGUCGGAUGUGAAAUCUCCCGGCUCAACUGGGAGGGGUCAUUCGAUACUGGUGGGCUCGAGGCCGGUAGGGGGAAGCGGAAUUCCCGGUGUAGUGGUGGAAUGCGUAGAUAUCGGGAGGAACACCAGUGGCGAAGGCGGCUUCCUGGACCGGGUUCUGACACUGAGGAGCG
rnacentral:rRNA from 1 species